rnacentral:rRNA from 1 species
UACGUAGGGACCAAGCGUUGUUCGGAUUUACUGGGCGUAAAGGGCCAGUAGGCGGCCAACUAAGUCGGAUGUGAAAUCCCCAGGCUUAACCUGGGAACUGCGUCUGAUACUGGACGGCUUGAGUAUGGGAGAGGGAUGUAGAAUUCCAGGUGUAGCGGUGAAAUGCGUAGAUAUCUGGAGGAAUACCGGUGGCGAAGGCGGCAUCCUGGACCAUUACUGACGCUGAGGCGCGAAAGCUAGGGGAGCAAACGGG